rnacentral:rRNA from 1 species
AUUGAACGCUAGCGGGAUGCUUUACACAUGCAAGUCGAACGAGGGGCCCACGUGUGAGACAUAUAUCGGAACGGGCCCAGUAGCGGGGGAUAACUUCUCGAAAGAGGGGCUAAUACCGGAUAUGAUUGGAGCGGCCGGAAGGGGCUUAGCUAGUUGGUGGGGUAAAGGCUCACAAAGGCAAAGAUCCGUAGCUGGGUUGAGAGGACGACCAGCCACACUGGGACUGAGACACGUCCCAGACUCCUACGGUAGGCAGCAGUGGGGAAUUUUGGACAAGGGGGGAAACCCUGAUCCAGCCAUCCCGCGUGUAUGAGAAGGCCUGCGGGUUGUAAAGUACUUUUGGCAGAGAAGCGGUAUCUGCAGACUAAGCACCGGCUAACUACGUGCCAGCAGCCGCGGUAAUAC